rnacentral:pre_miRNA from 1 species
GUGGGUAUGCAGCCAAGGAUGACUUGCCGACUACUGCCUCUCUUCCAUGGUUCUUUUAGAUCAAAUGAGCUUUGAUCAUCAUUGGUUGAUUUGAUUGUGUUGGUGGUGGUUGGCAAGUUGUCUGUGGCUAUAUUCCUGU